GAUGAACGCUGGCGGCGUGCCUAAUACAUGCAAGUCGAGCGAACAGACGAGGAGCUUGCUCCUCUGACGUUAGCGGCGGACGGGUGAGUAACACGUGGAUAACCUACCUAUAAGACUGGGAUAACUUCGGGAAACCGGAGCUAAUACCGGCUCAUAUAUUGAACCGCAUGGUUCAAUAGUGAAAGACGGUUUUGCUGUCACUUAUAGAUGGAUCCGCGCCGCAUUAGCUAGUUGGUAAGGUAACGGCCUACCAAGGCAACGAUGCGUAGCCGACCUGAGAGGGUGAUCGGCCACACUGGAACUGAGACACGGUCCAGACUCCUACGGGAGGCAGCAGUAGGGAAUCUUCCGCAAUGGGCGAAAGCCUGACGGAGCAACGCCGCGUGAGUGAUGAAGGUCUUCGGAUCGUAAAACUCUGUUAUUAGGGAAGAACAAAUGUGUAAGUAACUAUGCACGUCUUGACGGUACCUAAUCAGAAAGCCACGGCUAACUACGUG
rnacentral:rRNA from 1 species